rnacentral:rRNA from 1 species
GAUGAACGCUAGCGGCGGGCCUAAUACAUGCAAGUUGAACGGGAUUGUUGGUAGCAAUAUUGACAUGAGAGUGGCGCACGGGUGCGUAACACGUAUGUAACCUACCUUUAACUGGGGCAUAGCUUCGAGAAAUCGAAAUUAAUACCCCAUAACAUUUAGAAAAGGCAUCUUUUCUUUAUCAAAGCUCAGGCGGUUAAGGAUGGACAUGCGGUGCAUUAGCUUGUUGGUGAGGUAACGGCUCACCAAGGCUACGAUGCAUAGGGGGUCUGAGAGGAUGAUCCCCCACACUGGUACUGAGACACGGACCAGACUCCUACGGGAGGCAGCAGUAGGGAAUAUUGGUCAAUGGAGGCAACUCUGAACCAGCCAUGCCGCGUGGAGGAUGAAGGUCCUCUGGAUUGUAAACUUCUUUUAUAUGGGACGAAAAAAGGCUUUUCUAAGUCGUCUGACGGUACCAUAUGAAUAAGCACCGGCUAACUCCGUGCCAGCAGCC